CAGCAGCCGCGGUAAAACGGAGGGUGCGAGCGUUAAUCGGAAUUACUGGGCGUAAAGCGCACGCAGGCGGUUUGUUAAGUCAGAUGUGAAAUCCCCGAGCUUAACUUGGGAACUGCAUUUGAAACUGGCAAGCUAGAGUCUUGUAGAGGGGGGUAGAAUUCCAGGUGUAGCGGUGAAAUGCGUAGAGAUCUGGAGGAAUACCGGUGGCGAAGGCGGCCCUCUGGACAAAGACUGACGCUCAGGUGCGAAAGCGUGGGGAGCAAACAGGAUUAGAUACCCCAGUAGUCCCUGUCUCUUAUAC
rnacentral:rRNA from 1 species